CCCUCCUUGGUAUUUUUCUCAUACUCCUUUUCCUCACUGUUUUACUUUCAAUCACACACCCCUAAUUUUCUUCAAGUGUAUCACACACUAAUCUGAUGAAAAACAACCACUUUUUUCUUUUUUUCACUCUCUCUCUCUCUCUUAAUGCUGAAACCACCGAUGCUUUACACCAGUUAUGACGUCACCUUGGGAGUGGGAGC
rnacentral:lncRNA from 1 species